UGCAGUUUUGGUGUGUGUGUGUGUGUGUGUGUGUGUAGACACACACACACAUAUACACACACACACACACACACACACAUAGUUGUA